rnacentral:tRNA from 2 species
UCGGAUAUGGUGUAAUGGCCAACAUUGUUGACUCUCAUUGCUCAGCAGUGAUCACCCUCAACAGCUCCGGGUUCGAUUCCCGGUAUCCGAG